AUUGAACGCUGGCGGCAUGCCUUACACAUGCAAGUCGAACGGCAGCACGGACUUCGGUCUGGUGGCGAGUGGCGAACGGGUGAGUAAUGUACCGGAACGUACCUUUCAGUGGGGAUAACGUAGCGAAAGUUACGCUAAUACCGCAUAUUCUGUGAGCAGGAAAGCAGGGGAUCGCAAGACCUUGCGCUGAUUGAGCGGCCGAUAUCAGAUUAGCUAGUUGGUGAGGUAAAGGCUCACCAAGGCGACGAUCUGUAGCGGGUCUGAGAGGAUGAUCCGCCACACUGGAACUGAGACACGGUCCAGACUCCUACGGGAGGCAGCAGUGGGGAAUUUUGGACAAUGGGGGCAACCCUGAUCCAGCCAUGCCGCGUGAGUGAAGAAGGCCUGGUGUAAG
rnacentral:rRNA from 1 species